rnacentral:rRNA from 1 species
UACGGGAGGCAGCAGUGAGGAAUAUUAGACAAUGGGCGAAAGCCUGAUCUAGCCAUGCCGCGUGCAGGAUGACGGCCCUAUGGGUUGUAAACUGCUUUUAUACAGGAAGAAAAAACUCUACGUGUAGAGUCUUGACGGUACUGUAAGAAUAAGG